GCAUAUGGUGCAAUGGGUCAGCGUGUCUGGCUGUUAACCAGGAGGUUGGUGGUUCGAGCCCACCCAGGGACA